AUUGAACGCUGGCGGCAUGCCUUACACAUGCAAGUCGAACGGUAACAGGUUAAGCUGACGAGUGGCGAACGGGUGAGUAAUGCAUCGGAACGUGCCCGGUCGUGGGGGAUAACACUUCGAAAGAAGUGCUAAUACCGCAUACGAUCUGAGGAUGAAAGCGGGGGACCGUAAGGCCUCGCGCGAUCGGAGCGGCCGAUGUCAGAUUAGGUAGUUGGUGGGGUAAAGGCCCACCAAGCCGACGAUCUGUAGCUGGUCUGAGAGGACGACCAGCCGCACUGGGACGAAGACACGGCCCAGACUCCUACGGGAGGCAGCAGUGGGGAAUUUUGGACAAUGGGCGCAAGCCUGAUCCAGCAAUGCCGCGUGCAGGAAGAAGGCCUUCGGGUUGUAAACUGCUUUUGUACGGAGCGAAAAGGCUCCCUCUAAUACAGGGGGCUGAUGACGGUACCGUAAGAAUAAGCACCGGCUAACUACGUGCCAGCCGCCGCCGUAA
rnacentral:rRNA from 1 species